UACAGAGGUCCCAAGCGUUGUUCGGAAUCACUGGGCGUAAAGCGCACGUAGGCGGGUCCUUAAGUCAGGGGUGAAAUCCCGGAGCUCAACUCCGGAACUGCCUUUGAUACUGGGGAUCUUGAGUCCGGAAGAGGUGAGUGGAACUCCGAGUGUAGAGGUGAAAUUCGUAGAUAUUCGGAAGAACACCAGUGGCGAAGGCGGCUCACUGGUCCGGUACUGACGCUGAGGUGCGAAAGCGUGGGGAGCAAACAGG
rnacentral:rRNA from 1 species